rnacentral:rRNA from 1 species
GACGAACGCUGGCGGCGUGCUUAACACAUGCAAGUCGAACGGAAAGGCCCUGCUUUUGUGGGGUGCUCGAGUGGCGAACGGGUGAGUAACACGUGAGUAACCUGCCCUUGACUUUGGGAUAACUUCAGGAAACUGGGGCUAAUACCGGAUAGGAGCUCCUGCUGCAUGGUGGGGGUUGGAAAGUUUCGGCGGUUGGGGAUGGACUCGCGGCUUAUCAGCUUGUUGGUGGGGUAGUGGCUUACCAAGGCUUUGACGGGUAGCCGGCCUGAGAGGGUGACCGGACACAUUGGGACUGAGAUACGGCCCAGACUCCUACGGGAGGCAGCAGUGGGGAAUAGUGCACAAUGGGCGGAAGCCUGAUGCAGAAACGCCGCGUGCGGGAUGACGGCCUUCGGGUUGUAAACCGCUUUCGCCUGUGACGAAGCGUGAGUGACGGUAAUGGGUAAAGAAGCACCGGCUAACUACGUG